rnacentral:rRNA from 1 species
CGGUAUUUUGACCGUACAAAGGUAGCAUAAUCAUUAGUUUUUUAAUUGGAAACUGGAAUGAAAGGUUGAACGAGAAGACUUCUGUCUCAAUCCUAUUAUAUUAGAAAUUUAUUUUUAAGUUAAAAAGCUUAAAUAAAUUUAAAAGACGAGAAGACCCUAUAGAGUUUAAUAGGAGAAUUAGGAUUUAUUUUUGGUUUAGUUAUAUAAUCCUUAGUAUUUCUUAUUUUGUUGGGGUGAUGGAAAAAUUAGGUUAACUUUUUUUUAUUGUUAACAUUAAUAUAUGAUUAUUUGAUCCAUAGUUUAUGAUUACAAGAUUAAAUUACCUUAGGGAUAACAGCGUAAUUUUUUUGGAGAGUUCAAAUCGAUAAAAAAGAUUGCGACCUCGAUGUUGGAUUAAAAUUUAGGCUUGGUGUAGUAGCUAGGUUAUUAGGUCUGUUCGACCUUUAAAAUUUU